rnacentral:rRNA from 1 species
GACGAACGCUGGCGGCGUGCCUAAUACAUGCAAGUCGAGCGAGACUCUUCGGAGUCUAGCGGCGGACGGGUGAGUAACACGUGGGCAACCUGCCUGUAAGACUGGGAUAACACCGGGAAACCGGUGCUAAUACCGGAUAAUCCUUUUCCUCUCAUGAGGAAAAGCUGAAAGUCGGUUUCGGACGACACUUACAGAGGGGCCCGCGGCGCAUUAGCUAGUUGGCGAGGUAACGGCUCACCAAGGCGACGAUGCGUAGCCGACCUGAGAGGGUGAUCGGCCACACUGGGACUGAGACACGGCCCAGACUCCUACGGGAGGCAGCAGUAGGGAAUCUUCCACAAUGGACGAAAGUCUGAUGGAGCAACGCCGCGUGAGCGAUGAAGGCCUUUGGGUCGUAAAGCUCUGUUGUUAGGGAAGAACAAGUACCGGAGUAACUGCCGGUACCUUGACGGUACCUAACCAGAAAGCCACGGCUAACUACGUGCCAGCAGCCGCAGUAA